CACGUAGGGGGCAAGCGUUGUCCGGAUUCAUUGGGCGUAAAGGGUGCGUAGGCGGUCGCGCAAGUCGGAUGUGAAAUCUCAGGGCUCAACCCUGAAACUGCAUUCGAUACUGCGUGGCUAGAGUGCUGGAGAGGAGACUGGAAUUUACGGUGUAGCAGUGAAAUGCGUAGAUAUCGUAAGGAAGACCAGUGGCGAAGGCGAGUCUCUGGACAGCAACUGACGCUGAGGCACGAAGGCCAGGGGAGCAAACGGG
rnacentral:rRNA from 1 species